rnacentral:rRNA from 1 species
UACAGAGGUCCCAAGCGUUGUUCGGAUUCAUUGGGCGUAAAGGGUGCGUAGGCGGCUUGGUAUGUCGGGUGUGAAAUCCCCGGGCUCAACCUGGGAACUGCAUCCGAAACUGCCUUGCUAGAGUAUGGGAGAGGGAAGUGGAAUUUCCGGUGUAGCGGUGAAAUGCGUAGAUAUCGGAAGGAACAUCAGUGGCGAAGGCGACUUCCUGGACCAAUACUGACGCUCAGGUGCGAAAGCGUGGGGAGCAAACAGG